rnacentral:rRNA from 1 species
CCUACGGGGGGCUGCAGUGAGGAAUAUUGGUCAAUGGGCGAGAGCCUGAACCAGCCAAGUCGCGUGAAGGAUGAAGGAUCUAUGGUUUGUAAACUUCUUUUAUAUGGGAAUAAAAUGUUCCACGUGUGGGAUUUUGUAUGUACCAUAUGAAUAAGGAUCGGCUAACUCCGUGCCAGCAGCCGCGGUAAUACGGAGGAUCCGAGCGUUAUCCGGAUUUAUUGGGUUUAAAGGGAGCGUAGGUGGAUUGUUAAGUCAGUUGUGAAAGUUUGCGGCUCAACCGUAAAAUUGCAGUUGAAACUGGCAGUCUUGAGUACAGUAGAGGUGGGCGGAAUUCGUGGUGUAGCGGUGAAAUGCUUAGAUAGCACGAAGAACUCCGAUUGCGAAGGCAGCUCACUGGACUGCAACUGACACUGAGGCUCGAAAGUGUGGGUAUCAAACAGGAUUAGAUACCCGGGUAGUC